CCUACGGGUGGCACCAGUGGGGAAUAUUGCACAAUGGGCGCAAGCCUGAUGCAGCCAUGCCGCGUGUAUGAAGAAGGCCUUCGGGUUGUAAAGUACUUUCAGCGAGGAGGAAGGCGAUAAGGUUAAUAACCUUGUCGAUUGACGUUACUCGCAGAAGAAGCACCGGCUAACUCCGUGCCAGCAGCCGCGGUAAUACGGAGGGUGCAAGCGUUAAUCGGAAUUACUGGGCGUAAAGCGCACGCAGGCGGUCUGUCAAGUCGGAUGUGAAAUCCCCGGGCUCAACCUGGGAACUGCAUUCGUAACUGGCAGGCUAGAGUCUUGUAGAGGGGGGUAGAAUUCCAGGUGUAGCGGUGAAAUGCGUAGAGAUCUGGAGGAAUACCGGUGGCGAAGGCGGCCCCCUGGACAAAGACUGACGCUCAGGUGCGAAAGCGUGGGGAGCAAACAGGAUUAGAUACCCUCGUAG
rnacentral:rRNA from 1 species